GAUGAACGCUGGCGGCGUGCUUAACACAUGCAAGUCGAGCGAUGAAGUUUCCUUCGGGAAAUGGAUUAGCGGCGGACGGGUGAGUAACACGUGGGUAACCUGCCUCAUAGAGUGGAAUAGCCUUCCGAAAGGAAGAUUAAUACCGCAUAAUGUUGAAAGAUGGCAUCAUCAUUCAACCAAAGGAGCAAUCCGCUAUGAGAUAGACCCGCGGCGCAUUAGCUAGUUGGUGGGGUAACGGCCUACCAAGGUGACGAUGCGUAGCCGACCUGAGAGGGUGAUCGGCCACAUUGGGACUGAGACACGGCCCAGACUCCUACGGGAGGCAGCAGUGGGGAAUAUUGCACAAUGGGGGAAACCCUGAUGCAGCAACGCCGCGUGAGUGAUGAAGGUUUUCGGAUCGUAAAGCUCUGUCUUUGGGGAAGA
rnacentral:rRNA from 1 species